rnacentral:rRNA from 1 species
AGCGAACGCUGGCGGCAGGCCUAACACAUGCAAGUCGAACGAACUCUUCGGAGUUAGUGGCGGACGGGUGAGUAACACGUGGGAACGUGCCUUUAGGUUCGGAAUAACUCAGGGAAACUUGUUCUAAUACCGAAUGUGCCCUUCGGGGGAAAGAUUUAUCGCCUUUAGAGCGGCCCGCGUCUGAUUAGCUAGUUGGCGAGGUAAAGGCUCACCAAGGCGACGAUCAGUAGCUGGUCUGAGAGGAUGAUCAGCCACAUUGGGACUGAGACACGGCCCAAACUCCUACGGGAGGCAGCAGUGGGGAAUCUUGCGCAAUGGGCGAAAGCCUGACGCAGCCAUGCCGCGUGAAUGAUGAAGGUCUUAGGAUUGUAAAAUUCUUUCACCGGGGACGAUAAUGACGGUACCCGGAGAAGAAGCCCCGGCUAACUUCGUGCCAGCCGCCGCAGUAA